rnacentral:rRNA from 1 species
GGAAUAUUGCACAAUGGGCGCAAGCCUGAUGCAGCCAUGCCGCGUGUAUGAAGAAGGCCUUCGGGUUGUAAAGUACUUUCAGCGGGGAGGAAGGCGAUGGGGUUAAUAACCCUGUCGAUUGACGUUACCCGCAGAAGAAGCACCGGCUAACUCCGUGCCAGCAGCCGCGGUAAUACGGAGGGUGCAAGCGUUAAUCGGAAUUACUGGGCGUAAAGCGCACGCAGGCGGUCUGUUAAGUCAGAUGUGAAAUCCCCGGGCUUAACCUGGGAACUGCAUUUGAAACUGGCAGGCUUGAGUCUUGUAGAGGGGGGUAGAAUUCCAGGUGUAGCGGUGAAAUGCGUAGAGAUCUGGAGGAAUACCGGUGGCGAAGGCGGCCCCCUGGACAAAGACUGACGCUCAGGUGCGAAAGCGUGGGGAGCAAACAGGAUUAGAUACCCUUG